CCAGUCAGAAAAGGAGGUGAUCCAUGUCUCAUUGUCACUCAGGGGCAACACGAACGGCGCGGAUCACCUCGAAUACGGGUUUGAUCCUCGCUUAAGCUGUCGCCCAUAGGGGACUGACAAUGGAGGGGCCGCGGCGAAAGCUGCGGCCCC
rnacentral:sRNA from 1 species